GAUGAACGCUGGCGGCGUGCCUAAUACAUGCAAGUCGAGCGAACAGACGAGAGUGCUUGCACUCUCUGACGUUAGCGGCGGACGGGUGAGUAACACGUGGGUAACCUACCUAUAAGACUGGGAUAACUUCGGGAAACCGGAGCUAAUACCGGAUAAUAUUUAGCUUCGCAUGAAGCAAUAGUGAAAGACGGUUCUGCUGUCACUUAUAGAUGGACCCGCGGUGUAUUAGCUAGUUGGUGAGGUAACGGCUCACCAAGGCAACGAUACGUAGCCGACCUGAGGGGGUGAUGGGCCACACGGGCAUUGAACCACGCCCCAGACUCCGCAGGGAGGAAGAAGUAGGGAAUCUCCCGCAAGGGCGGAAAGUCGGACGGAGCAAUGCCGCGUGAGGAAGGAGGUUUUCCGGAUCGAAAACCUCUGUUAUAAGGGAAAAACAAGUACGUAAGAAACUAAACGUACCUUGACGGUCCCUAACCAGAAAGCCAGGGCAAACUACGUC
rnacentral:rRNA from 1 species